AACGAACGCUGGCGGCAUGCCUUACACAUGCAAGUCGAACGGCAGCGCGGGGCAACCUGGCGGCGAGUGGCGAACGGGUGAGUAAUAUAUCGGAACAUACCCUAGAGUGGGGGAUAACGUAGCGAAAGUUACGCUAAUACCGCAUACGCACUAAGGUGGAAAGUGGGGGAUUCGCAAGAACCUCAUGCUUAUGGAGUGGCCGAUAUCUGAUUAGCUAGUUGGUGAGGUAAAGGCUCACCAAGGCAACGAUCAGUAGCUGGUUUGAGAGAACGACCAGCCACACUGGAACUGAGACACGGUCCAGACUCCUACGGGAGGCAGCAGUGGGGAAUUUUGGACAAUGGGGGGCAACCCUGAUCCAGCAAUGCCGCGUGAGUGAAGAAGGCCU
rnacentral:rRNA from 1 species